rnacentral:rRNA from 1 species
GAUGAACGCCGGCGGCGUGCCUAAUACAUGCAAGUAGAACGCUGAAGGAGGAGCUUGCUUCUCUGGAUGAGUUGCGAACGGGUGAGUAACGCGUAGGUAACCUGCCUGGUAGCGGGGGAUAACUAUUGGAAACGAUAGCUAAUACCGCAUAAGAGCAGUUGUUGCAUGACAGCUGUUUAAAAGGUGCAAUUGCACCACUACCAGAUGGACCUGCGUUGUAUUAGCUAGUUGGUGAGGUAACGGCUCACCAAGGCGACGAUACAUAGCCGACCUGAGAGGGUGAUCGGCCACACUGGGACUGAGACACGGCCCAGACUCCUACGGGAGGCAGCAGUAGGGAAUUUUUGGCAAUGGGGGCAACCCUGACCGAGCAAC